UGGGUGCUUAGGUAGGGGGUGAGCGAGAGCGUAGAUGGUGGGACCCGAAAGGUGGUGAACUAUACUUGAAUAGGUUGAAGUCAGGCGAAAGCCUGAUGGAGGACCGUAGCGAUUCUGACGUGCAAAUCGAUCGUCAAAUUUGGGUAUAGGGGCGAAAGACUAAUCGAACCAUCUAGUAGCUGGUUCCAGCCGAAGUUUCCCUUAGGAUAGCUGUUACUCUCUGGAGUUUUAUCAGGUAAAGCGAAUGAUUGGUGAAUUCUGGGGGCAUGUCCCCUAGCUCAACUCUCAAACUUUAAAUUGGUAAGAAGCACCUUUCGCUUAAUUGGAUUGGUGCAUUGAAUCCGAGUAAUGUGUGGGCCACUCUUGGUAAGCAGGACUGGCGAUGCGGGAUGCUCCGAACGCGUAUUUAAAGAGACCUAAGGUCCGCGUAUCAGAACCCAGAAAAGGUGUUGGUCGAAUUUGACAGCAAGACGGUGGCCAUGGAAGUCGGUUCCCGCUAAGGAGUGUGUAACAACUCACUUGCCGAUUCGACCGGCCCUGAAAAUGGAUGUCGCUGCAGCGGACUUCUUAUAGUACGCCCUUGAAACAUGUAUAAAACAAGUAAGUUUCAAGGAGUAGGCUGGCGUGUCGGUGGCGUGGAAGGUGCUAGCGCGAGCUACACUGAAGCCGCCGAUAGUGCAGAUCUUGGUAGUAGUAGCGAAUAGUCAAAUGAGAACUUUGACGGCCGAAGUGGCGAAUGGUUCCUUGUAAACAGCAUUUGAACAAGGGUGAGUCGGUCCUAAGCUACAGCCGAAUGGUGUAGUGAAAGCGGAGUGAUGCCUUGGUAUUGCUCCCGUGGGCGAAAGGGAAGCGAGUUAAUAUUCUCGCGCGUCGACGUGGCUAGUGUGCUUCGGUACACAGAGCGGUAACGCAAAGGAACUCGGAGAAGCUUGCGGUUACAUCGGGAAGAGUUGUCUUUUCUUGCUAACGAGACGUUAGAGCAUGGAAUGAGUUUGGCUCGAGAUAUGCUUUGCGGCUCGGAAGAGCAGUGCUUUUCUUGCGCUGUCCGAUCAGUUGCCGUUGGCCCUUGAAAAUCCGAGUGAGUGAUUGAUGUUCACGCGACGCCGUACAGAUAUCCGCAACUGGUCGCCAAGGUGAGUAGCCUCUGGUCGAUGGGAGAAAGCGAGUAAGGGAAGUCGGCAAAAUAGAUCCGUAACUUCGGGAAAAGAAUUGGCUCUGGGCGUCGAGUAGUCUGAGCUUAUCAAUGAAGUAGGCAUCGUCCUGCUGUUGGGCUGGGUAACCCUUUCGGGGGGGACUCGGACCGACGGCGGGAUUGUCUAUGGAGUUGGUUUGCUAUGUCGUCUUCGGGCGGCUUCGGGCUACAAGGAACGAUGAACUCAGAACUGUCACGGUCUCGGGGAUUCCGACUGUAUAAUUAAAACAAAGCAAUGCGAUGGCGUUAAAACGUGUUGACGCAUUGUGAUUUCUGCCCAGUGCUCUGAAUGUCAAGGUGAAGAAAUUUGCUUAAGCGCGGGUAAACGGCGGGAGUAACUAUGACUCUCUUAAGGUAGCCAAAUGCCUCGUCAUCUAACUAGUGACGCGCAUGAAUGGAUCAACGAGAAUCCUACUGUCCCUACUUGCUACCCAGCGAAACCACAGCCAAGGGAACGGGCUUGGAAUAAUCAGCGGGGAAAGAAGACCCUGUUGAGCUUGACUCUAGUCAGUGUCUGUGACGAGACUUAGGAGGUGUAGAAUAGAUGGGAGACUUCGGUCGACAGUGAAAUACCAUCACUCUUAUUGUUUCUUUGCUAAUGAAAUAGGGUGAGACUUGGACCUAGUCCUUUAUUGUUGCGUUAAGCGCCGACCUUGGUUGGCGCGACUCAUUUUUCAGACCUUCACUGGCGGGGAGUUUGACUGGGGCGGUACAUCUGUCAAACGAUAACGCAGGUGUCCUAAGGUGAGCUCAGCGACGACGGAAACGUUGCGUAGAGUAAAAGGGCAAAAGCUCGCCUGAUUUUGAUUUUCAGUGUGAAUAAAAACUGCGAAAGCACGGCCUAUCGAUCCUUUUGAGUAUCCGGAUGUGAUGCAAGAGGUGUCAGAAAAGUUACCACAGGGAUAACUGGCUUGUGGCAGCCAAGCGUUCAUAGCGACGUUGCUUUUUGAUCCUUCGAUGUCGGCUCUUCC
rnacentral:rRNA from 1 species